UUACAGCCAUAUCGACGUUGAAACACUGUACGAUCACCGAAGUUAAGCAACAUCGUACUUGGUCAGUACCUAGUUGGGUGACCGGUUGGGAAUACCAGGCGUUGUAA